UGGGACUGCCUUUCUUUGCUAAGCUAGUUU
rnacentral:piRNA from 1 species